UGGAGCUGGUAGGUCCCAACUCUCUGAGGCCGCCUCCACAGAGGGAAGCUCAUGGCCCAAGGGCUGAACAAAAUUGAGUUCUUUCUCUGGGGUCGCACUGCAUUACAUGUGCCCAGGACUUCGAACUGCUGUGACCCCCUCACCCCAGGACUGAGGGAGCCCCUCACCCCAUGACCGAGUGAACCCCUCAUCCCCCUGAACCAGCCACCUCCACCAUCUCAGACCCGGGCACGGAUCAGACCGCCUCCCAUCGUCAACCUCCACCAACUCAGACCCGGGCACAGAUCAGACCACUUCCCACCACCAUCUCCACCAUCUCAGACCCGGGCACGGAUCAAACCGCCUCCCAACACCGUCUCCACCACCUCAGACCCAGGCACAGAACAGACCACCUCCCACCACCACCUCGACCAUCUAAGACCCGGGCACAGAUCAGACCACCUCCCACCACCAUCUCCACCAUCUCAGACCCCGGCACGGAUCAGACCACUUCCCACCACCACCUCCACCAACUCAGACCUGGGCACGGAUCAGACCACCUCCUACCACCAUCUCCAUCACCUCAGACCCGGGCACGGAUCUGACCACCUCCCACCACCAUCUCCAUCACCUCAGACCCGGGCACGGAUCUGACCACCUCCCACCACCAUCUCCACCAACUCAGACCCGGGCACGGAUCAGACCGCCUCCCACCACCGUCUCCACCAACUCAGACCCGGGCACGGAUCAGACCACCUCCCACCACCGUCUCCAUCACCUCAGACCCGGGCACGGAUCAGACCACCUCCCACCACCGUCUCCACCAACUCAGACCCGGGCACGGAUCAGACCACCUCCCACCACCGUCUCCACCAUCUCAGACCCGGGCACGGAUCAGACCGCCUCCCACCACCGUCUCCACCAUCUCAGACCCGUGCACAGAUCAGACCGCCUCCCACCACCGUCUCCAUCACCUCAGACCCGGGCACAGAUCAGACCACCUCCCACCACCGUCUCCACCAACUCAGACCUGGGCACAGAUCAGACCGCCUCCCACCACCAACCUGCAUCUGUGCCUUCUCUGUGGUGCUCCUUUGCCUCACAAGCUGCACUGGGAGGCUUCAGGGGGUAGCCUCCUCGAGGGCAGGGCCCUGCAGAGCCACAUGCAGAGGCCAACGGCCCCAGCGUCCCCCAGCACCAGCAAGGACCUGGGGGCUGUGCUCCGGUGAGGGUGAUGGGUGCCUGCUUACCUCGGCCCACUGCUUGGCCCGGAUCCGCAUCUGGCUGUAGUUCCGCUCCUCAGAGUACAGGGCACCCACGAAGGCCCCGAUGGACGUGCCUCCCACCAUGUCCACAGGGAUGCCGCACUCCGCCAAGGCCUUGAGAACGCCCACCUGGGCACAGCCUCUACACCAGCCAGGGACACAGAGCAAGGAGUGAGUACCAGGCCCAGGCUGCGCCCUGCAGAGGCCUUGUGCUCAUCCUCAGUUCCCAACUCCUCCACAGGCAGAGACGCUGACGCAGAGAGGGACUCCAGAUGCAGUUUAAAACCCCUCUUUCCGGGCUCACGCCUGUCAUCUCAGCACUUUGGGAGGCCAAGGCGGGCAGAUCACUUGAGGCCAGGAGUUCGAGACCAGCCUGGCCAACAGGGCAAAAUUCCAUCUCUACUAAAAAUACUAAAAUUAGCCAGGCGUGGUGGUGCGCGCCUGUAAUCCCAGCUACUCGGGAGGCUGAGGCAGGAGAAUCACCUGAACCCAGGAGACAGAGGUUGCAGUGAGCUGAGAUCACACCACUGCACUCCAGCCUGGGAGACAGAGUGAGACUCUGACUCAAAAUAAAUAAAUAAAUAAAUUAAUUAAAUAAAUGAAAUCCUUCCUUCUGGAGGUACUGAGGGACUGUGAGGCUGGGAUGGGGAGGAAGGUGUCCUGAGAGUUGACCGGCAUUGGCCUCUUCUACCCGGAAACACGGCUGCCUCCAGCAGGGCGUCUGAGAGGUGGUGGGAAAACUGGACUUGAGGGGCCCUGGAAGGGAGGAGCCUGGGAAGCAUCCUGAGGGGCAGCACCCCAGGAGUCAGAUGAGCUGGAUGUAGACCAGCACCCAUGAGACCAGGGAGCACCCCCGAGACCAGGGGGCACCCCCGAGACCAGGCAGCCGGCACCCAGGGCCUCUAAUUGCUACUGCUGCUUUCAUACAGAAUGUCCACCACUCAACCAAAGAUUACCAGUCAUAUGAGAAGAAAAGCCUCAUAUAGGCUUUCCUUUUGGCCUCAUAGCCAAAAGAAAAAACAGACAAUGAAAGUGGGCCCAGAGUGCCUCCCAGGUAAGAGAUACAGACACAGGCUUUUACAAUGACCACGCUUAAAGUGUGCAGGGAGCCAAAAGGUGGCAACAGCUGAUGAAUGGGUACAAAGUAGACAAGGGAAGAGCACCCAGCUCUAAGGAGGGAGCUCGGAUGCAAGCCACAGCUGGGGGGGACCCUGGAGGCAUUUGCUGUGGUUUAGCUCUCUGUCCCCACCGAAAUCUCAUGUUGAAUUUUAAUCCUCAGUGUUGGAGGAGGGACCCGGUGGGAGGUAACUGGAUCAUGGGGGCAGAUUUGAGGUGGGAAGACGUCAAAGGCUACACUGAGCUGACGUCACACCACUGCACUCCAGCCUGGACUGGAGUGAGACCCUGUCUAUAAAAAAGUUCUGGAAAUGAACAGUGGCAAUUGUUCAUUUCACGACAUUGUAACAACAUUGUAUCAUUAAUUAUAUUAAUAUGAUAUAUUAAUACUUAAUUGGAUACUCAAAAAUGGUUAAGUGGUAAAUUUUAUGUUAUGUAUAUUUUAACAUAAUAAAAAAAACCAUAUGUAAUACUGCCACAGAAUAUUACUCAGGUAUAAGCCUUAAAAACAAGUUCAAGUUGGGAGGUGGAGGUUGCAGUGAGCCAAGAUCGCACCAUUGCACUCCAGCCUGGGCAACAAGAGCAAAACUCCGUCUCAGAAAAAACAAAACAAAAACAAAAACCCAAGUUCAAGGAAUUAAAAACAAGAGUGUUAAUUCUGGCAUAAAACCAAAUGAAAAUUCUAGAAGUGAAAAAUAUAAUAACAAAUGAAAAGCUCAAUGAGUGGGUCUAACGGCAGAACAGAACAGCUGAAGAGAGAAAUGGUAAAAUACAAGAUGGGUCAGAAACAGUCACUGAAUCAUGAAGCAUCAAGAGGACAGAAUAUGUAACAAUAUUGUUUUACAAAAUCUGUAAGGGAGUUUAGGAAACAUGGGAUCUGGCACCAAACUCUAAUGUAUGUGUGAUCAGAGCCACAGAAAGCAGACAGGGAGGGAGCUGUAUCUGAAGAGACAGUGUGGCAUGUUCUACAGACAGACAUCAGGCCUCAGAAUCAGGAAGCAUGAUAAAUCCUAACAUAAAUCAAAAGAAAACCAUUCUCAUGUUGUCAAAAACCCAAGGAAAGAAAAAACCUUUAAGCGAGCCUGAGAAAAUAAAAGAUGCGUUACCUUAACUUUUCUAUCCUCUGAGUGGUUGUGAGAGAGUAUAUAUUUACUAUCUGUUUCUUUAUAGACAAUGUCUGCUCGUCUAAAUGUUAGGGAAAAAAGAACAACUUAAAUAAAAGAGUAAAAUUAAGCAAAUAACAAAGAUAAGAGCAUAACUUAAAGAGCCAAAAACAAACAUAGAGAAGAUUGACAAAGAUGAAAGUUGGUGUUGGAGGGACCAAUUCGACGGACAGCCCGGGUGAAGCCGAUCAAGGAAAUGAAAGAGAGAAAGCAUCAAUGAUGAACAGGAAAGAAAAUGGGAACAUUGGUGCAGAUGCUUUAGUUUAAAAUACUGAACAGCUUCAUGCCAUAAAUAGAAAAAUUCAGAUAAAAUGGGCACAUUUUUAGAAAAACCUAACUCACCAAAAUAACAUAAGAAAUAGAACAUAUGAGUAG
rnacentral:lncRNA from 10 species